GACGAACGCUGGCGGCGUGCCUAAUACAUGCAAGUAGGACGCAGUUGCGAACGGGUGAGUAACGCGUAGGUAACUACCUAUUAGAGGGGGAUAACUCUUGGAAACGAUAGCUAAUACCGCAUACUAGUAGAUGUACCUGCGUUGUAUUAGCUAGUAGGUAGGGUAAUGGCCUACCUAGGCAACGAUACAUAGCCGACAUGGGAGGGUGGUCGGCCAGACUGGGACUGAGACACGGCACAGACGCCUACGGGAGGCAGCAGUAGGGAAUCGUCGGCAAUGGGGGGAACCCUGACCGAGCAACGCCGCGGUAAUGAAGAGGGUUUUCGGGUCGUAAAGCUCUGUUGUUAAGGAAGCGGUACUUAACCAGAAAGGGACGGCUAACUACGUGCCAGCAGCCGCGGUAAUUC
rnacentral:rRNA from 1 species